rnacentral:ncRNA from 1 species
CUAUGAGGAAAAGUUCCUCAUGGCGGAAGGAG